UUCUUUUAAGUGAAAAAAUGCCGGAAAUCCGUUUUUCCACUUAUUAAAACAGAGAUACCCUAUCGGAAACUUUACUGAUUUUGGCGAUCAAAAUCGCUAUGUUUUAUUAAUUAUUACAAAAUAAAAAAUUUGCUGAGCAAUAAUGAAAGGCAUACUGAAAUGUUCAACAUUCGUACCGAAGCUUUGCCAUUGCCACAAAAGCCAUAGCUGAAGGCGAACAAAUAAUCCAGAAAUCCGCAGCAGGGAGAGAGUAUCGCACAAAUGAGUCCGCUGAAGUUGCUACUCUACACAGGCCAAGAAAACGGGCAUUAUUGUACAUGGAGAAAUCAAGUGACUGAAGUAAAGAGCACUGCUACGCCCCAGCUCCAGGAUAAAAUUGUUGAUUUAGCUCUGAAGUCUUCUUUCAUAUCAACGAUAAGUGAUUAAUUUGCGAAAGUUUGACUUGAACGCAACAAAACUAUUAUAUUAAUUUGCCCUUAUAAGGGCGCAAUUGUUAGUGUGUCCAUACUUCUUCUUGCGACAGUUAUCAGCUGGGGAUGGAGUCGAGCGUCCACUAGAAUGCUUAGGCACUUUCUGUUGAUGAUAAUGGGAAGACGAUGACGACUGAUUGGUUGCUGGCUUGCUCUGCAAUUAUAAAAGCAAACCAGCAUACUCCUAUGAAGUUAGUUUGUAAAAGUAAAUUAAGAAUAAAUAAAAUCAAUUUUAAUUUUAAAAUACACCAGGACAUAUCCGACGUUUGACAUAUAAAAUAAAUGUUGCAUCGAAGCAAAUAAUAAACGUACCUUAAAAUGCUGAUUUUGUGUUUGUUGGAUAAAUUAUGGAUAACGAGUUUGUGUUUGAAGUAGUUGUGGUGUUUUUUGUUUUAGUGAAUUGGAAGUAUGCCAAUAAAAAAUCUUCAGCAAAACGAUUGUUUAAUACUUGGUUACGGUAUGCAACAUUUUAUCUCAGCAUGUGUGGCG
rnacentral:sRNA from 1 species